rnacentral:rRNA from 1 species
CCUACGGGAGGCAGCAGUGAGGAAUAUUGGUCAAUGGACGAGAGUCUGAACCAGCCAAGUAGCGUGAAGGAUGACUGCCCUAUGGGUUGUAAACUUCUUUUAUAUGGGAAUAAAAUCUCCUACGUGUGGGAUCUUGAAUGUACAAUAUGAAUAAGGAUCGGCUAACUCCGUGCCAGCAGCCGCGGUAAUACGGAGGAUCCGAGCGUUAUCCGGAUUUAUUGGGUUUAAGGGCGCGUAGGUGGAUUGUUAAGUCAGUGGUGAAAGUUUGCGGCUCAACCGUAAAAUUGCAUUUGAAACUGGUGGUCUUGAGUGCAGUAGAGGUAGGCGGAAUGCGUGGUGUAGCGGUGAAAUGCUUAGAUAUCACGCAGAACUCCGAUUGCGAAGGCAGCUCACUGGACUACAACUGACACUGAGGCACGAAAGUGUGGGUAUCAAACAGGAUUAGAUACCCGAGUAGUC